AGAGCGAACGCUGGCGGCGUGCUUAACACAUGCAAGUCGAACGAGGUUUGUAGCAAUACAAAUACUCGUGGCGAACGGGUGCGUAACACGUGGAUAACCUUCCUUCAGGUGGGGAAUAACCCAGUGAAAAUUGGGCUAAUACCGCAUAACAUCGCGAUGGCACAUGCUGUUGCGUUCAAAGCCGCAAGGCGCCAGAAGAGGGAUCCGCGGCCGAUUAGCUUGUUGGCGAGGUAAUGGCUCACCAAGGCAUUGAUCGGUAUCCGGACUGAGAGGUUGGCCGGACACACUGGAACUGAGACACGGUCCAGACUCCUACGGGAGGCAGCAGUGGGGAAUCUUGCACAAUGGACGAAAGUCUGAUGCAGCAACGCCGCGUGGGGGAUGAAGCUUCUCGGAGUGUAAACCCCUUUCGACCUGGACGAAUGCCCGCGAAGGGUUUGACGGUACAGGUAUAAGAAGCCCCGGCUAACUACGUGCCAGCAGCCGCGGUAAU
rnacentral:rRNA from 1 species